GAGAGGAUGAUCAGCCACACUGGAACUGAGACACGGUCCAGACUCCUACGGGAGGCAGCAGUGGGGAAUAUUGCACAAUGGGCGCAAGCCUGAUGCAGCCAUGCCGCGUGUAUGAAGAAGGCCUUCGGGUUGUAAAGUACUUUCAGUCGUGAGGAAGGUAGUGUAGUUAAUAGCUGCAUUAUUUGACGUUAGCGACAGAAGAAGCACCGGCUAACUCCGUGCCAGCAGCCGCGGUAAUACGGAGGGUGCGAGCGUUAAUCGGAAUUACUGGGCGUAAAGCGCAUGCAGGUGG
rnacentral:rRNA from 1 species